rnacentral:rRNA from 1 species
GAGCGCAACCCUUAUCCUUUGUUGCCAGCGGUCCGGCCGGGAAACUCAAAGGAGACUGCCAGUGAUAAACUGGAGGAAGGUGGGGAUGACGUCAAGUCAUCAUGGCCCUUACGACCAGGGCUACACACGUGCUACAAUGGCGCAUACAAAGAGAAGCGACCUCGCGAGAGCAAGCGGACCUCAUAAAGUGCGUCGUAGUCCGGAUUGGAGUCUGCAACUCGACUCCAUGAAGUCGGAAUCGCUAGUAAUCGUGGAUCAGAAUGCCACGGUGAAUACGUUCCCGGGCCUU